GAUGAACGCUGGCGGCGUGCCUAAUACAUGCAAGUCGAGCGAAUGGAUUAAGAGCUUGCUCUUAUGAAGUUAGCGGCGGACGGGUGAGUAACACGUGGGUAGCCUGCCCAUAAGACUGGGAUAACUCCGGGAAAGCGGGGCUAAUACCGGAUAACAUUUUGAACCGCACGGUUCGAAAUUGAACGGCGGCUUAGGAUGUUAUUUAUGGAUGGACACGCGUCGCAUUAGCUAGUUGGUGAGGUAACGGCUCACCAAGGCAACGAUGCGUAGCCAACCUGAGAGGGUGAUCGGCCACACUGGGACUGAGACACGGCCCAGACUCCUACGGGAGGCAGCAGUAGGGAAUCUUCCGCAAUGGACGAAAGUCUGACGGAGCCACGCCGCGUGAGUGAUGAAGGCUUUCGGGUCGUAAAACUCUGUUGUUAGGGAAGAACAAGUGCUAGUUGAAUAAGCUGGCACCUUGACGGUACCUAACCAGAAAGCCACGGCUAACUACGUGCCAGCCGCCGCAGUAA
rnacentral:rRNA from 1 species